AAAGGCUUCAAUCACAAGAGAGAAGGCAUCAUUUCCACCAUUUUGUUUCCGAGUUUCAGAAUCAAAAACGAAAGCUACAUCUAGAAGAAGAAAAGAAAAAGAUAAGGAAAUGCGGAUCAAAGGUCAAACAUAUCACCUGGAAUCUGGAGGAUCAACAAAAAUGCAUCAAUCUGGUUUAUGCAUGAUGGUUUAAUGUGCAAAGAGACUGAUUUAAAAUGGAUGUGGGUGUGUGAGAUGAUGAAGGGACUAUGUGGGGACCUCAACAAAUAAUAAAUCUUGUUUUUUUAUGAUGUCAAUGGAUUAUGAAAACUCUCUUUUUUUAGGCUUAAUUACAACUUUGGUCCCCCUAUUUUGCUUUUUCUUUAGUUUUGGUCCCCUUAUUUUAAAAACCAUAUUUUUUGGUCUCCUUUUAAGUUUUUGUGUUGGAUUUUAGUCCCCUAAAAAGGCACCAAAAUCCAACCCAAAACUUUAGAAAGAACCAAAAUUGCGAUUUUUAAAAUGAAGGGACCAAAACCCAAAUAAAGACAAAAUAGAGGGACCAAAAUUGCAAUUAAGCAUUUUUUGUAUUUUAGAUGCAUAUGUAACAAUGAGGUGAUAACAUUAAUGUAUUGGUGUUAAUGCGUAAAAGAUUGCCCACUUUAUCUCAAAC